rnacentral:rRNA from 1 species
UCGGAUUGGAGUCUGNAACCCGACUCCAUGAAGCUGGAUUCGCUAGUAAUCGCGCAUCAGCCACGGCGCGGUGAAUACGUUCCCGGGCCUUGUACACACCGCCCGUCAAGCCAUGGAAGCCGGGAGUGCCUGAAGUACGCGACCGCAAGGAGCGUCCUAAGGUAAAACCGGUGACUGGGGCUAAGUCGUAACAAGGUACC